rnacentral:tRNA from 1 species
AGCGACAUAGGGGAGAGGUUAACCCGUCGGGCUCAUAACCCGAAGAUCACUAGUUCGAAUCUGGUUGUCGCUU